UUACUUGUACUGUUGUGGCAAAAUAAUGAAAGCUUCUUUUCCAGGCAAAAAGUGUGCCUGGAAAAAUAAAUGAAAUUUUGGGUCUUCCGAUUUGGGCAGAUCCUAAAUGGAAACAGACGAGUCCCAGUCGACGCGGAUUUGCCCCGAAGCUGAACAAAAACAAACCUGAAUCUCAAUCUUCCCGAAGAAGAACCAUCAGAAAGUAAACACACAAUUGGUGAGAAUUCAUUGGUCCCCAAAUGCCUCCUGGAAGAGCUCCCUUUUAACCAGCUUCCAGGAGGGAGCCAUAGAAGGAGUUAGUCUGGUUUCCAGGGAGAGGCUGCUCCAAAGUAGGGGGGCAUUAUCAAAAAGGAUCAACUGUCUCAGCUCCCCUCACCUCAUGAACAUGGUGCAGCACUCACAGUUUUCUCCUGGAGGGAAUGCCUUGGAUGAAUGGACUCUGGUCAGAGAAGGCAGUCCUGCAGUCCUGAUUCCUGAAUGGUAUUUCCAGGAUUGUUUUUGUUCAGAAAGUACCACGGAUUACCGCUGAUAACAUCUGCAGUGGCAGCUGGAAUGUCCUCAGUUAGACGGCUGACACUCAAACAUGCCAAGUUCUGAUGUCAGCCCUGGGCUGAAGAUCAAGGUAUUCAUACUGCGGAAAGGUCAAAGAAGGCAGACAGAUCCAGCCACAGAUCAAGGCUCAGUUCUACAGCCAGUCCACAAUACCCUAAUAAAUGAAAUUCAGGAAUUUCUGGAUGGGAUGUAUUUCUAUAUUAAUCGAUCUGCGUGGCAUUUUUCCAUGCAUUGAGACUUUGAGAACUGCCAUUUACAUUUGGCAUCAUGGUUUGGAUCCACACUAUGCCAGGAGCAUUGUCAGAAAGUUAAAUGGCAACCAAGGCCAGACUCCUGGCAUUGCUCGCCAUCCCAGGAUAGGGUUUUCUUUUCUAUCAUACCCCUCCCCAUCCUCUUUUUUCUAGGAUAAUAAAUAUGGCUACUUAGGUGGACUAUGUAGGAGCGGUAGGGUGGUUGAGAAAUGUUUUUAAAUAAAAUGUUAAAAAUAAAAUUGUGAAAAUGCAAAGGAAAUUAAAAUAAUACCAAAGGUCCUGAAGAUGGUGUACCAGUUGAUCUAGGCCUACAUGUACAUUUCAUUUGUCCUGUUUUCAUGUUUUUUAAACUCUACAGGGAUGAGUAAACUUCUUUGAGUAAAGGCCCAAGUACAGCAGCAACUCUCUCAGGUUCCCACCCAGGCCGCCCUCCUUUUUAGGUCAUUCCACCACCUCAAGCCAGGCUGAUAAAAUCUUCAAAGAAGGAUUUAAAGGAAGUCUUUUUUCAGGUUUUUUUUUUUUUAAACACCUCCGGUUAGAGGGAAAUGAUUAUUUUACACAUGUUCAAUAAUGGAUUAUCUGUAGUAGUCAGUAGCUUUGCUUGGAGAAGAGACACUCAAUAUUUUCCCCUGUGGCAUUCAGCUAUCAAACAAAAAGUAGAAACAACUCAGGAGUUCUUCCUUGUAUCAGUGAGUGCCCUUCUCUCAGUACCAAUAGCAGGCGUGGGGCAUGCAGUCUAGACUGGGUUUGUGGUGAUGACAAAGUGUAAAACCCUGCUUUCCCUUUCAGAAUUCUGAUUUGGGGACCGUCCUACAGGGGUGAUUUU